rnacentral:rRNA from 1 species
AGGAUGAACGCUGGCGGCGUGCUUAACACAUGCAAGUCGAACGGUGAACUUGGGAGCUUGCUCUUGGGGGAUCAGUGGCGAACGGGUGAGUAACACGUGAGUAACCUGCCCUUGACUCUGGGAUAAGCACUGGAAACGGUGUCUAAUACCGGAUACGAGCUUCAGCCGCAUGGCUAGGAGCUGGAAAGAACUUUGGUCAAAGGAUGGACUCGCGGCCUAUCAGCUAGUUGGUGAGGUAAUGGCUCACCAAGGCGACGACGGGUAGCCGGCCUGAGAGGGUGACCGGCCACACUGGGGCUGAGACACGGCCCAGGCUCCUACGGGAGGCAGCAGUGGGGAAUAUGCACAAUGGGCGAAAGCC